rnacentral:rRNA from 1 species
GACGAACGCUGGCGGCGUGCUUAACACAUGCAAGUCGAGCGGAAAGGCCCUGCUUUUGUGGGGUGCUCGAGUGGCGAACGGGUGAGUAACACGUGAGUAACCUGCCCUUGACUUUGGGAUAACUUCAGGAAACUGGGGCUAAUACCGGAUAGGAGCUCCUGCUGCAUGGUGGGGGUUGGAAAGUUUCGGCGGUUGGGGAUGGACUCGCGUCUUAUCAGCUUGUUGGUGGGGUAGUGGCUUACCAAGGCUUUGACGGGUAGCCGGCCUGAGAGGGUGACCGGCCACAUUGGGACUGAGAUACGGCCCAGACUCCUACGGGAGGCAGCAGUGGGGAAUAUUGCACAAUGGGCGGAAGCCUGAUGCAGCAACGCCGCGUGCGGGAUGACGGCCUUCGGGUUGUAAACCGCUUUCGCCUGUGACGAAGCGUGAGUGACGGUAAUGGGUAAAGAAGCACCGGCUAACUACGUG